UCUCGAAGUGGAAUCAGGUCAUUCCGACCUCUGUAGCUCGAGAUAUUCGCGUUUAAGCAACGGUGGUUCCGGCUGUACAGUACCAGCGAGUAAAUUAGUUUGUUUUCUUCUAAUUCCGAAUUUGAUUAUGAAAUUACUUAAGAGGGCUUAAGUUUUUAAUUAGAUUCAGGUCUGAUUAAGUGCUUAAGUUAUUGGGUCAAGGGUUUGACUUGGAGCGGGCUCAAGAGAAAAGAAAAGAAACCCAAGCCCAUGAAGAGGGGGAGCCCGCGGUUGUAUUAGGGUCUUGAAGGGGGGAAAAGUUUGUUUUCCAUUCAGUUCUGAAACAGAAACCCUUGCACUCCUUACGUAAAGAAAACAGAAGAGAAAAGAGUGAGAGAACCACCCCUUGCACCCUUAGCCGCCGCCGACAAAGCCACCACCGCCACCUUGUGCGCGCGUGAGAGAGAGAGGGAGACCUGCGAGAGAGAGAGAGCUCAACUAGGAGGGAAGAGAGGGUCUUGGACAGAAGCUUUUGAUCCCUUAUUCAUCACCCAACUUCUGAUUUCUUCACUCUUAAUCAAGAUGGUCGUGAAGAUAAUGGCGACGACUCAUUCUUGGGAGUUGAUGCUACGUGACGAGCCACUACCGCAUGACGACUACACUUCUGAUGAAGAGGAAGAAGAUAAAGGGGAAGGGGCCAAGGAUAUGGUUGGGUUGUGAGACAUCCAUUUUUCUUUUGGGUUGAGAGUACCGAGUUUUGGAAGUAUUGAACCAUUACUUUAUUUUAGUUGAGAUAGUUUAACUUGAUGUAAUUUACUUUGAAGUUUUCUUCCGGAUAUUUAUUUCAUACUCUUUUCAAUGAUUAAUAAAGUUUGAGGUUUACGUUGA